GCGGCGAUAGCUCAGUUGGGAGAGCGUCAGACUGAAGAUCUGAAGGUCGCGUGUUCGGUCCACGCACACAGCA
rnacentral:tRNA from 1 species